UACAGAGGUCUCAAGCGUUGUUCGGAUUCAUUGGGCGUAAAGGGUGCGUAGGUGGCGGGGUAAGUCAGGUGUGAAAUUUCGGAGCUUAACUCCGAAACUGCAUUUGAUACUGCCUUGCUUGAGGACUGGAGAGGAGACUGGAAUUCACGGUGUAGCAGUGAAAUGCGUAGAGAUCGUGAGGAAGACCAGUGGCGAAGGCGGGUCGUCUGGACAGUUCCUGACACUGAGGCACGAAGGCCAGGGGAGCAAACGGG
rnacentral:rRNA from 1 species